AAUAAAUUGAGUAUUAUUUCCCCAAAAAAGAAAAAAAAAAUUCAUCAAGUGGAAGAGCUGCUAGCAAUAGCCCAAGAUCAGAUUCCACAGGGAGAGGUUUAAUAAUUAGUAAUUACAUAAAGAAAUUAACAAGAAAGAUCCAUUAGAUAGUAAACUAGAAAGUUACAAUCAAAGCGGGAGCUUACUCAGUUUACAUUUGCAGAAUAUUCAGACAAUAAACUUGAUGGCAGUAACCCUGAAAAAUUCUGUAACAUCUGAGGCAUGAAAAUAUCAUCAAAAGAUGACUCCAGUGGAUGAGGAGGAGCAUCUGGUGUUUCAGGCAGCUGCUUAGCACUUAGAUCCACAGUGGGGACCUCUAGUGCAAGAUCAUCAACAGUUUUAGAUGCAUUAUCUGGGACCGUUAGAUUAUUGACGUACCUA
rnacentral:misc_RNA from 1 species